rnacentral:rRNA from 1 species
GAUGAACGCUGGCGGCGUGCCUAAUACAUGCAAGUCGAGCGAGGUAGAUUUGAAAGCUUGCUUUCAAAUCUACCUAGCGGCGGACGGGUGAGUAACACGUGGGUAACCUGCCCUUUAGAUUGGGAUAACAUCAGGAAACUGGUGCUAAUACCGAAUAGGAAGAAGAGUCGCAUGACUUUUCUUGGAAAGGUGGCGUAAGCUACCACUAAAGGAUGGACCCGCGGCGCAUUAGCUAGUUGGUGGGGUAACGGCCUACCAAGGCGACGAUGCGUAGCCGACCUGGGAGGGUGAUCGGCCACACUGGGACUGAGAAACGGCCCAGACUCCUACGGGAGGCAGCAGUAGGGAAUCUUCGGCAAUGGGCGAAAGCCUGACCGAGCAACGCCGCGUGAGUGAAGAAGGUUUUCGGAUCGUAAAACUCUGUUGUAAGGGAAGAACAGCAGGUAGUUAAAUAAGCUACUUGUGUGACGGUACCUUAUUAGAAAGCCACGGCUAACUACGUGCCAGCCGCCGCGGUAA